UGCGUGAGUGAGUGCAUAUUGUAUUGUGGCUUUUUUGUCUCUCCAUUUGCUCUGUUAUUUCUGUAUGAUAUUUGAUUUGUUGAGAAAAGAGUUUGUUUUAUUGAAUGGUGAAUAUAACAUAUUUGACAGCCAGCAGAGAAGCGAGCUGCCUAGAGGAGGACUGAAUCCAGACUAUUGCUGACAUCGAACCAGAAGGGAUCAGCGGUGUUCCCUACAGAGAAGACGCCGCGACAAUAUCCCAGGCACUGUCUCCAGCUAAAAAAACUUGUUGAAGAAAAUGAAAGUAAAAGCUGUUGUCAAGACAAUUUAUUGAGAAAUUAGAAGAGUCUGUCACUGUGCCAAGAAAUUAACUUAAGAUUUAAA